UACGUAGGUGGCAAGCGUUAUCCGGAAUACUGGGCGUAAAGCGCACGCAGGCGGUCUUUUAAGUUUGACGUGAAAGCUCCCGGCUUAACUGGGGAGAGGUCGUUGAAGACUGGAAGACUUGAGGCAAUGAGAGGGGUGUAGAAUUCCCGGUGUAGUGGUGGAAUGCGGUAGAUAUCGGGGGGAAUACCAGUGGCGAAAGCGGCACCCUAGCGUUAGCCUGACGCUCCAUGAGCGAAAGCGUGGGGA
rnacentral:rRNA from 1 species